CGUGUAGGCGGUGACGUGUGUCUGAUGUGAAAGCCCUCGGCUUAACCGGGGAAGUGCAUCGGAAACUACGUCACUCGAGGAUGAGAGGGGAUAGCAGAAUUCCCAGAGUAGAGGUGAAAUUCGUAGAUACUGGGAGGAAUACCUGAGGCGAAGGCGGCUAUCUGGCUCAUUUCUGACGCUGAGACGCGAAAGCGUGGGGAGCAAACA
rnacentral:rRNA from 1 species